UCUUUCUUUCUUUCUUUCUUUCUAUAUAGUACCUUUAAGAAAAAAAUAUUUAUUUUUAUUUUCUGUCUUUUAUUUAUUUUUUUUUUCCAUUUUCAUUGCCACAGACUCACAGGAAUUAACAUAUUUUCCUUUCAUAGUUGCAUGAAUAACAUAUUUUCCUUUUCAUUGUCACAUAAAUGACAUAUUUUCCUUUCACUGUCACAUGAAUAACACAGCUAGUUACCCGUAAUUGACACAACUGAGGUCGGACCAAUGUUCAUAAUGGCCACUGCUAACCACAAUCGCUGAAACAAGCAUAUCUAAAGUAAGAAUCAAAGAAACUGAAGGUGAGGAUAGUAAAUACAACUACAUUGCUCAAAUCAGCUCCUCUCCAUUCUUUAAGUAACAGUUUUCCAACAGUAACUCUCAUAUAGAAACAUCUUGGCCAACAACAAUUACAUAGAAAGUGUUUUUUUUUUCCACGAUGUAAACCUAAUCAAAAUUCGAAAAAGAAUCAGAAAGUUCCAAAACUUCAAAAUGAAACAUAAAUUGCUUUCUAGCGAGACAAAAUUGCAUAAAUUGCAAAGAGUACCUUACAAAACAAAAGCAAGAUACCAUCUUUAUCUUCUCCCAGCAAUCCUUAGUAAUGGCGAAAUUAUGCCCUGUAUCUCCUGCAGUGACUCUUGUAUUCUGAUCUCCUCCUCAACUGAGCGCUUGAGAUUUCUGAUAUGACCCUUCAGUGCAUCAGAACCUCUAAUAUCAUCAGCUCGCAUCUCAAGUACCUUUCUUGUUAACCCCAUUAGCAACCCAGAAUGUCUUGGCAUAGUUGAGUACUUAUGUAAGAAUCCCAACAGCAAUCCAAGCUCUUCCUCGUCUAAAUUCGAUACACAUUUCAGCAACUUCCUCCUUGCAACCAGUUCCUCCAUUACAGCUACCACAUUCUCUGGAUUCUUCCCGGUUAAUGCUGAAACCAAAGCUUCCUUAUGCCUGAACUUCUUCAACAAUUUAUCAUGCUCUGCAAAUUUCACCUUCUUUGGUCUCAUUAUCAAAUAAUCACCCUCAUUUGGUUUCUCUCCCUGACUCCUGUGAAAGUACCUAAAAUAGGUAGGCCUCAGAAUCCGCCUCUGCGGCUCCUCCACACUCCCUAGCCCCAAGAAAUCCCGUAAUUCACUCUUUUCCUCAUUUUCCUUCAUCUUCCUCUUCCCACCAAAUAUAAUCCCAUUGGAUGUUCCAAUUGCUCUUGCCAUACAAUCCUGCGAAACCCCAACUGACAUAAGCGGAGCAGGAAACCUCAUUGAAUGAGUAACCUUCAUUUUGGCAUAAUCAAACACUUUCAUAUAUCCAUCCAAACCCACACUCAUAAUCCUAUACUGAAUUGUCUCCUCUCCAUUCUCUUGCCCCAUUAUUUUCCCCACACAAAUGGAUGUAACAGUCUUGUUAUGACUCUCCAAGGAAUGCACCAUCUUUCCUCCCCCAAUCAAAUCCCAUAUCUUCACAGUGUUGCCUCCUGCAGUAGCAAUCAUUCCACCAGAAGGCAAAAACAUCACGUCCUCAAUAGGCUUCCCAUGGUUCACUUCUAUCACUGAUUUUUUACUCUCUACUCUCACAUCCCACAACUUCACGGUGUGAUCAUAAGACCCAGUAACAAACAUCUCUGCAUUGACUGGAGAACAAUCUCCACACCUCACAUAAUCCUUAUGACCCAGCAAGUCCAAAACCACACUCUCCCCAGCAACAUCCCAAUACUUAACAACCGUAUCAUCGCCACCAGACACCAAAUGUAGCUUGUCGUGAACAGGAUACUUAACGAACCGGGCAGGACGAGUAUGAGAGCGGAGGCGACGAAGUGGGGUCCGGGUUUUGACAUCAAACACCUGUACAAGACCGGAGAGAUCAGAGGCGGCAAUAAGGGAUCCAUCUGAGCGGAAGGAGCAGGAAGAAACGACGUCAGAGAAGGAGGAGAUGGAGGAGGUAGGAGAAAAGGUUUGAGAGGAGAAGAAAGUGAGGGAGGCAGAAUUGGCGGCGGCGAAGAGAUGAGAAGAGGGUACAGGAGAGAAGGCGAUAGAAGGUAUUGAAGAAAUUAGGUUCUGGAUUUGAUGGGACUUGAAGGAGGACCAGUAUUUGGAUUCUGGGGAUUUUGAUGGGGUUCUGGGUUUGGGUUUUAGCUUGGGUUUUACAGGGAAGGCUUUGGAGAUGGUGGUGUUUUGUUGGUGUUGGUCUGCCAUGGAAGACGGUGAAGCAAAGCCAGACAGCUUAAGCCUGUGUUGUGUUAGGGUUUAG
rnacentral:misc_RNA from 1 species